AGUUUAGCUUGGCUGGAGGCCUGGCAGAACAGUCGUUGUGGAGAAACCAGUGCUUCACAGAGAGAACCGCAAACACUAAACUGGAUAGCUGCUGUCUGCCACUCAGGAGCAAGUGCAGACUAGAGACUUAUGGAGGUCUCCAGUAUCCUUCUCUGAGAUACCAAUCCUUAACCCAAGAAAUCCAAGGCCAAUAGCUAAGUAUAAAAGUUAUUCUCUGAGAGUGAGAAUACCUAGAUUAGGGAUAAUGGAUAAUAAAGCUGUAUGAGGCCAGGCGUGGUGGCGGGCACAGUGGCUCAUGCCUGUAAUCCUAGCACUUUGGGAGGCCAGGGUGGGCAGAUCACCUGAGGUCAGGAGUUUUGAGACCAGCCUGGCUAAGAAGGUGAAACCGUUCCUACUCAAAAUACAGAAAUUAUCCAGGCAUGGUGCGUGACUGUAGUCCCAGCUACUCAGGAGGCUGAGACAGGAGAGUCCCGUGAAUCGGGGAGGUGGAGGUUGCAGUGAGCCGAGAUCGCCCUACUGCACUCCAGCCUGGGAGACGGAACCAGACUCCGUCUCAAAAAAAAAAAAAAAAAAAAAAUCUGUAUGAUACAAUUUUUGCAAAAACUUGUGUCUAUUUCUUUUAACUUUUUAAAAUGUGGCUACUAGAAAAUGUAACCUAUGUAGCUCACAUUCGUGACCUGUAUUAUAUUUCUUUUCACACUGAUCUGUAAGGCACAUAUAAAAUGGAGGGUGGGUAGGAGAAAAAAACUGACCAUUUUUCCUCCAGGUCUGAACAGGGCAGUGGGUGUUCAGAACCACAAAUCAUCAUUUCUUAUUUCUGUGUCAUUUGUAUUUAUAUUGUGAAGAUAACUCAGUAAUAUGAGCCAUAAAAAUUAUAUAGCAAACAUCUUUUAUAUCCAUGUUCACAAAGCAGUUUUUCAAUCCUAGAAAUUAGACUUUCCAUCACGGGAGCAUGAAUUGAUUGGUAAAAACUAGAACAUAUACUAAUACGUACCAACAAUAGCCACUCCCACUUCUCCUACCUUCACUAGGUCAGACAUAGUUAAUCAGGACAUUUUUUAUUUUUAUUUUUUUAA
rnacentral:lncRNA from 1 species